UUCGACAAUAUCUUCGCGUAGGCUCGACGGAUAAACGAACCGACUUCACCAGCACGUCAGAAUACCUAGCGAUUAGGUUUACAUGGAUUCAAAUUAGAUCAAACUCCUUCACAUAGCAAAACCCCCUUUUUGCGCCCUAACAUGCUACUAUUGCAAGAAACCCAAUACCACUCUUUGAUUCAAGCAAAUAGCAUGUUACUAGUAUCUAGGG
rnacentral:lncRNA from 1 species